GGAUGGUGAGCGAUCUGGCUGUGACAUCUGUCACUCAAUUGAUCACCAGGGUUGAUUCCACUGAUCUGAUUGGUGUUCCCUUCUUCCCUCACUGCUCCAUGUGUGUCCCUCCUGAAGCUGUGUGCUCAGUCCAAGAGGGCAACAAUCCCCAAUAGAGGAGAACUAUACAAGUAGCUCUGCUCCCCUACUAGAACCUCCAAGCAAGUUCUCAAGGUCCAAGAUGGAAUUCUACCAAGAGAUGCUCUUUGACUGAGAGCAAUUUCCAGAGAAGACCUCUGUUGGGGGCU
rnacentral:snRNA from 1 species